UACGAAGGGGGCUAGCGUUGCUCGGAAUCACUAGGCGUAAAGCGCAGGUAGGCGGUUUGGUAAGUCUUUUGUGAAAGCUCCCGGCUCAACUGGGAGAGGUCAAAGGAAACUACUAGGCUAGAGUGUGGUAGGGGAUACUGGAAUUCCUGGUGUAGCGGUGAAAUGCGUAGAUAUCAGGAGGAAUACCUAUGGCGAAAGCAGGUAUCUGGGCCAUCACUGACGCUGAGCUGCGAAAGCUAGGGGAGCAAACAGG
rnacentral:rRNA from 1 species